AGAGUUUGAUCCUGGCUCAGAACGAACGCUGGCGGCGUGCUUAACACAUGCAAGUCGAGUGCGCAGUUCCCGUAGCAAUACGGGGAUGGGCGCACGGCGCACGGGUGCGUAACACGUGGGCAAUCUGCCCUCCGAUGGGGAAUAACCCCGCGAAAGCGGGGCUAAUUCCGCAUAACAUUCCUGGGACUCUGGUCCGAGGA
rnacentral:rRNA from 1 species